rnacentral:rRNA from 1 species
AUGGUCUUCAAGCUGGAUUUCAGAAAGGCUUUCGACUCUGUGGCAUGGCCUUCCCUUGAUAAAAUCCUGGCAGUUCACGGGUUCUCUCCAAUCUUCCGCAGCUGGACUCAAAAUCUUCUCCACACAGGAAAAACGGCCGUACUUCUGAACAGGAUCCCGGGCAAAUGGAUCCAAUGCAAAAAUGGGCUGAGACAAGGCGACCCAACCUCUCCC